GAUGAACGCUGGCGGCGUGCCUAAUACAUGCAAGUCGAGCGAACAGACGAGGAGCUUGCUCCUCUGACGUAGCGGCGGACGGGUGAGUAACACGUGGAUAACCUACCUAUAAGACUGGGAUAACUUCGGGAAACCGGAGCUAAUACCGGAUAAUAUAUUGAACCGCAUGGUUCAAUAGUGAAAGACGGUUUUGCUGUCACUUAUAGAUGGAUCCGCGCCGCAUUAGCUAGUUGGUAAGGUAACGGCUUACCAAGGCAACGAUGCGUAGCCGACCUGAGAGGGUGAUCGGCCACGCUGGAACUGAGACACGGUCCAGACUCCUACGGGAGGCAGCAGUAGGGAAUCUUCCGCAAUGGGCGAAAGCCUGACGGAGCAACGCCGCGUGAGUGAUGAAGGUCUUCGGAUCGUAAAACUCUGUUAUUAGGGAAGAACAAAUGUGUAAGUAACUAUGCACGUCUUGACGGUACCUAAUCAGAAAGCCACGGCUAACUACGU
rnacentral:rRNA from 1 species